AAUGCAGGUGUCAUUCUUUUGAGGUGUAUGCCUCAGUAACUGCUAAAACCUGGUUUCAUGAACUACAACAGGAUGAGGCUUGCUGCAUAGUUAACUCGUACGAGUCAGUCUCAGAACUGUGGGCUGGACCAUGUUCCUAAGCCAUGCAGGUAGCAACAGAUGCCUCAGAGCUUUCUGAACCACUUAGGUCACUGCAUGGCUGCAUCUUGUAGCCAUUCAUUGUAACAAAUGAUUUUGCAACAGCUUUUCUCAGAAUGAGAAAGUUCUCUUCGGAAACUGGCAGUUCCUCUUAAGAUUCCAUUCUGAAGCUGAUCGUAAUCUUAUCUAAGGCAUGGGUACAUCACAAGCUGCUCAAGUGCAAAUCUGACUGCCCAGAUUUAGUGUUGGCGCCUUGUUGCUGAGGUCAUGGCUCACAGAAGCCGUAACAGGACUCCCAGCUACAAGCUCACAUCCCAGUGGAGCAGCUGCCCACCUCACUGCUUCCUGAUGCACUGUGCAUUUGAGAUAUUGAGAGUGUGGCAAGUCUGUGUUUGCACAACAGGAGCAAAUAAUGAAUGAAAGCAGUGAAAGACAGUGCGUAGAUAGAGAAAACAUAGUUUCUUUGACUCUCAGACAAGUUACGUUAGACAUUGGACUUCACACAAUAAAACCUCCUUAUCAGUGGUAAAUGGUGACCAUCCCACAAAACCAGAUUUCACUACGUGUUUGUUCUGCAGUAUGAAAAAAAGGAUUCAACACCACAUUUUUUCUUUUUUAAAAAUAAAACUGCUUUUUGAGUUGAUGAGCUAAUUACACAGAUACUGGAGAUGCUGUUCUAAGUAUUGUGCUGCUAUUCUCAUUUUUCAAAUUAAUGACUCACUCCUUGAACAGUUGAUUGUGUUUGGGUUAAUGACCAAGGGCAGACUCUUACUGUAGAUCAGACAUUGUACUUCAGGUAUCAAAAUUAAUUUCUGACACAUUUGUGCAUUGCUACAAGAUGUUUCAGUUUCAAAGAAUUUGCAGUUUUCACUGAUAAACUGCUUAGUCAAACUAUUUCUUAAAACAACAAGGGAACUGAAUUUUAAUAAAAGUGAUGGUAAAGUAAAAGUCUCAAAGACUCAAAGUUAUGAUCAAGAGACCUGCCUUCGAUUUCCACUUUUAUUUCAUCAAGUUUGCCAAACAGCUUAACCUCAGAGACUUUCCUAGAAUAAAUGUCAUCCUACUGUGAAGCUUUUCUCUGAUCAGAGUCACCAAUUCUACAUUAUCUCCAAAGUAUUCUGCUGCUUAGCGCUGGUGGCUGGGUAUGAGAAGAAAGGACUUCUUCCACCCCUCUGAGUGGAUCUACCUUUUUCAAUGGGGGAGGCUACUCUAUGAAGGAGUUGGAAGAGCUGACUGCAUUUGGCCCUUCUUCAGAACAACUCUUCUGUGGUAAUGGAUUGCCCAUGGAGUAUUUUGCUGUUACAUUUCUACAACUCCUCAGGCUUGGAGAAAUAAAUAACGUCCACCUGAGCUGCUGAGUUUGCAGGAAGGACCACGUUUAUUUUAUAGUGCUGAU